rnacentral:rRNA from 1 species
AAGAGCUUGCUCUACAGAGAAACUGAGUGGCGGACGGGUGAGUAACACGUAAGAAUCACCUUUUGGAGAGGGACAACCACUGGAAACGGUGGCUAAUACCUCAUAUUGCUGAGAAGUGAAAUGAUGAAAAUCGCCGAGAGAUGAGCUUGCGUCUGAUUAGCUAGUUGGGGGGGUAAUGGCCCACCAAGGCGAUGAUCAGUAGCUGGUUUGAGAGGAUGAUCAGCCACACUGGGACUGAGACACGGCCCAGACUCC